rnacentral:rRNA from 1 species
AGAGUUUGAUCCUGGCUCAGGACGAACGCUGGCGGCGUGCCUAAUACAUGCAAGUAGAACGCUGAAGAGAGGAGCUUGCUCUUCUUGGAUGAGUUGCGAACGGGUGAGUAACGCGUAGGUAACCUGCCUUGUAGCGGGGGAUAACUAUUGGAAACGAUAGCUAAUACCGCAUAACAAUGGAUGACACAUGUCAUUUAUUUGAAAGGGGCAAUUGCUCCACUACAAGAUGGACCUGCGUUGUAUUAGCUAGUAGGUGAGGUAAUGGCUCACCUAGGCGACGAUACAUAGCCGACCUGAGAGGGUGAUCGGCCACACUGGGACUGAGACACGGCCCAGACUCCUACGGGAGGCAGCAGUAGGGAAUCUUCGGCAAUGGGGGCAACCCUGACCGAGCAACGCCGCGUGAGUGAAGAAGGUUUUCGGAUCGUAAAGCUCUGUUGUAAGUCAAGAACGGGUGUGAGAGUGGAAAGUUCACACUGUGACGGUAGCUUACCAGAAAGGGACGGCUAACUACGUGCCAGCAGCCGCGGUAAUACGUAGGUCCCGAGCGUUGUCCGGAUUUAUUGGGCGUAAAGCGAGCGCAGGCGGUUUGAUAAGUCUGAAGUUAAAGGCUGUGGCUCAACCAUAGUUCGCUUUGGAAACUGUCAAACUUGAGUGCAGAAGGGGAGAGUGGAAUUCCAUGUGUAGCGGUGAAAUGCGUAGAUAUAUGGAGGAACACCGGUGGCGAAAGCGGCUCUCUGGUCUGUAACUGACGCUGAGGCUCGAAAGCGUGGGGAGCAAACAGGAUUAGAUACCCUGGUAGUCCACGCCGUAAACGAUGAGUGCUAGGUGUUGGAUCCUUUCCGGGAUUCAGUGCCGCAGCUAACGCAUUAAGCACUCCGCCUGGGGAGUACGACCGCAAGGUUGAAACUCAAAGGAAUUGAC